rnacentral:rRNA from 1 species
AGACAGCAGUCGCCGCGGUAAUACAGAGGGUGCGAGCGUUAAUCGGAUUUACUGGGCGUAAAGCGUGCGUAGGCGGCUAAUUGAGUCGGAUGUGAAAUCCCCGAGCUUAACUUGGGAAUUGCAUUCGAUACUGGUUAGCUAGAGUGUGGGAGAGGAUGGUAGAAUUCCAGGUGUAGCGGUGAAAUGCGUAGAGAUCUGGAGGAAUACCGAUGGCGAAGGCAGCCAUCUGGCCUAACACUGACGCUGAGGUACGAAAGCAUGGGGAGCAAACAGGAUUAGAUACCCCAGUAGUCCCUGUCUCUUAUAC